UUUUAUGCCUGGGGGUGCCGUUACAAUUGGUGGCAAGCAACGGAAUGGUUCUCACAGCCCAGAAGGACAGCUACAAGGCAACCACAUUUCCUCGAUUUAUAAUUUGAGGGCAACGCAUGUCUCAGUACAGCGACCCUGAACUGAGCAGGAUUGAACCAGGCUGGACCCAAACAGAAGUUCCAUAUGAGAAGGAAGACCUGGAUGGCCGGGAUGGUACCAGGCACUGGAUAAC